rnacentral:lncRNA from 1 species
GUGAGGUGCCACAGAGAAUUGUGGAAGACAUACAAUUAAAGGGGAGAAUAAAGAAUUCAGGGAGAGAUAGGGAAUUGUGGGAAAGAAUGGAGCCUUGUUGGAGAAAGCAGAGAAUUCUGGGAAGAGCAAAGAGAACUGUGGGAGACCAUAGAGGUGGUCUGGUGGCGCCCUCACGGUCUGGCAGAGCCCUGCCCCUCUCUCCGAGGCCACACCAUGUUUGCUCCUUCGUGACCACGUCCCCUCCUGCCCCACAACGCCUCUCCUGCUGGAGCCACAUUUGCAGUUAUUGAUGGACCUGCUGCUGUACUCCAUCACAGUCACUAAGAAUUGUGGGAGAGUCAUGCAAUUAUGAGAGGGAACAGGGACUUCUGGGAGACUGUAGAAGAAGCAGGGACUUUUUGGAGAGACAAAGAAAUGUGGUAGACACAUAAGUCAGUGGCCUUCUGUGCUUCGUGUGGUUCCUCCUGCGGAAGCCAUAUCUGGUCCGUUAUGACUACGCCCCUGUGCUCCGUCUGGGUCACCAUCCCUCAAAGCCACCCACCCCUCUACAAUCUGGCUUGGGCCAUGACUUCACUAA